CAGCUGCCGCGGUAAUACCGGCGGCCCGAGUGGCGGUCACUAUUAUUGGGCUUAAAGCGUCCGUAGCCGGGUUGGGAAGUCCUCCGGGAAAUCUGGCCGCUUAACGGUCAGAAUGCCGGAGGAUACUCCCAGCCUAGGGAGCGGGAGAGGCCGAGGGUAUUCCCGGAGUAGGGGUGAAAUCCUAUAAUCCCGGGAGGACCACCUGUGGCGAAGGCGCUCGGCUGGAACGCGUCCGACGGUGAGGGACGAAGGCCAGGGGAGCAAACCGGAUUAGAUACCCGGGUAGUCCUGGCUGUAAACGAUGCGGACUUUGUGUCGGACAAGCUAUGAGCUUGUCCGGUGCCGGAGGGAAACCGUUAAGUCCGCCGCCUGGGGAGUACGGCCGCAAGGCUGAAACUUAAAGGAAUCGGCGGG
rnacentral:rRNA from 1 species